UGACACCAACUCUUGAUUUAAAUGGUGGGA
rnacentral:piRNA from 1 species